ensembl:lncRNA
CAAAUAAAUAAGAGAAGGAAACAGCUCACCUUCAGAAAGACUUCAAGGUCCUCAGGUGGAAGCAGAACAGAAGAAAAAGGCUCAGCUUGAAAUUACCUUUUGCAAGUUGGAGUACUGAAGGACAUUAUCAGGACAGAGAUUCCUCCAGAGCCUCUGUAGGGAAAGGAAAAGAUCCAAUCAUUGAUUCACUGAUCUCCCACAUUGCAACACUGCAUUUGUGCAUCUACAGACAGUAUACGUGAGCAGCUCCUCUCCUCUCCUCUUAACAUCAUACAGACUUUUGUUUUCAAAUGAGAACUGACCCAAAGCAAAGCUGCUUACUUCUGGGGCUGGAAGCUUCAUGUGAACUCUCGUGUUUCUUAGAUUAGGUCAUGAAAAAGGGCACAACUUUGCAGCCUUGCAAGAGAAAGUCAAGACAACUGGAGAUGGAUACCAUAAUUCAGGAAAACAACAUGAUGGAAAACCUGGUGAUAGGAUUACUAUCAGCUUUCACUUCACAGCCUCAAAAGUAUCAUCAUGUUACAAAACACCCAGUCGUGCUAUAUUAUGCACUGAUUAUCUGGAUAUGGGAAGAAAAUAUAUAAGUACCAUCCCUCAAAAUUGAUUGUAACUACAGAAACAACUAUAGAACAAAAAAUGACAAAAAUACUCUCAGUAAUACAAGCAUUUGUGACUAAUAUUCACAGUGAAUAUUUAUUUUCACAUACGAAUCUUAU